rnacentral:rRNA from 1 species
UACGUAGGGGGCAAGCGUUGUCCGGAAUCAUUGGGCGUAAAGCGCGUGUAGGCGGCCAUGUAAGUCCGUUCUGAAAGCCCGGGGCUCAACCCCGGGAGGCGGAUGGAUACUGCAUGGCUCGAGUACGGAAGAGGCGAGUGGAAUUCCCGGUGUAGCGGUGGAAUGCGUAGAGAUCGGGAAGAAUACCUGUGGCGAAGGCGGCCAGCUGGGCCAGGUCCGACACUGAGGCGCGAAAGCGUGGGGAGCAAACAGG